rnacentral:rRNA from 1 species
CAGUAGCCGCGGGAAUACGAAGGGUGCAAGCGUUACUCGGAAUUACUGGGCGUAAAGCGCACGCAGGCGGUCUGUCAAGUCAGAUGUGAAAUCCCCGGGCUUAACCUGGGAACUGCAUUUGAAACUGGCAGGCUAGAGUCUUGUAGAGGGGGGUAGAAUUCCAGGUGUAGCGGUGAAAUGCGUAGAGAUCUGGAGGAAUACCGGUGGCGAAGGCGGCCCCCUGGACAAAGACUGACGCUCAGGUGCGAAAGCGUGGGGAGCAAACAGGAUUAGAUACCCCUGUAGUCCCUGUCUCUUAUAC